GGGAAUAUAGCUCAGUGGCACAGCAACCUGCCUGGCAAGCACGAGGUCCUGAGUUCAAUUCCUAGUACCA
rnacentral:tRNA from 1 species